rnacentral:rRNA from 1 species
GUAGGAUAGGAAUAAAUUUUAUUAGUUGGAAGUUAGGGGGGGGGUAGUUAAGAGAAUUAUUGAUUUUAUAGGUGAAAUUUGUUAAAUUGRUUAUUUCUUAGAAUAGGUAACUGAAGCUUUGAAAGUUAAAAUUGAAACUAGGAUUAGAUACCCUAUUAUUUUAAUUGUAAAAUGUGGGCUUGAGUAGUAUUAGUUAGGUGCUUGAAACUCAAAGAAUUUGGCGGUGUCUUAAUCUUUUCAGAGGAAUCUGUCCUGUAAUUGAUAUUACACGUUAAAUGUUACUUAAUUUGGUAUAAUCAAUUUGUAUACCGCCGUCGUAAGAUUAUCUUUUUAGAGAAAAAAUUUUCUUGGUAUUAGAGGAUAAUAUGUCAGGUCAAGGUGCAGUUUAUAGUUAAGUGGGAGAUGGAUUACMAUAAAUUUAUUUAAAUGGAUAUUCUAUUGAGAAGUGGAGUUGAAGGUGGAUUUGAAGGUAAUUUUAUUAAAUUAUGAUAGAAUGAUUAAAGCUCUAGGACMUGKACACMUCGCCCGUCGCUCUCMUUAUUAAGAUGAGAUAAGUCGUAACAUAGUAGUCGUACUGGAAAGUGUGACUGGAAAGGUCAA